rnacentral:tRNA from 1 species
GGGGCUAUAGCUCAGUUGGCAGAGCGCUUCCAUGGCAUGGAAGAGGUCAAGGGUUCAAUUCCCUUUAGCUCCAC